rnacentral:lncRNA from 1 species
GGCACAAGUAUGAUCGCUCCAUCAUGGUGGACGGAGAGGAAGCAUCACUUGUGGUCUAUGGCACUUGGGAGCAGACCCAGGCUCACCUGAAGAAGCCCAGGACACCUAGGCGGUACUGGAUAGUGACCACCACCACGUUCUCAGAAGAUGCCAGAAUGGAUCCAUCAUACAUGGAAGCCAUGCCUAGAACCAGUGCACCACCAUGGAUCCAUACCAUCACCUGGGGAAGUACAGACAGAUGCCGUGUGACUUCUGCCCAGCCAAAACACUACCUGGCUUCCUCAUACACUAUCCAUAGCUUAGGCUCUAGGCAACUACCACAGAGGACUCCAGAAAGACUGCAUAUGUGAGGGAUGGGUCACAGACCCAAGUUCAAUCAGGUAGACCAGGACUUUCUUACUUUGAGUCAACCACAUGAAUCCAAACCUGGAUCUAAUAUUCUCAGACUCCUUGGAAAUGGAGAAAAGGGGAGUUUUCUGAUACUGUCCAGCCUAAAUACUAAUAAAAAUGUUAUUUCAUUAGUCCAACCGAUAAAUUGCAGCUAGGCUCUUGGGUCAUUUCAAAGUAGAACUCGUGGGCACCGAGACCUGUGAUCUCUGGUACCAGUUAGGGCUCUGUGACUUAAUGCUAGGGGUCAGUUACCCAACCUGGCUGAGAAGCCCUUCUUGGUUUCCACAGCAGAAGGCUUCACAACAGGGUCUACCCUGCAGCAGAACCAGG